rnacentral:rRNA from 1 species
CCCUUAGAUGUUCUGGGCCGCACGCGCGCUACACUGUUCGACGCAGCGAGUCUUAACCUUGACCGAAAGGUUUGGGUAAUCUUCAGCAAAGUCGAACGUGAUGGGGAUCGAUCAUUGCAAUUAUUGAUCGUGAACGAGGAAUUCCUAGUAAGUGCAAGUCAUCAGCUUGCGCUGAUUACGUCCCUGCCCUUUGUACACACCGCCCGUCGCUACUACCGAUUGAAUGGUUUAGUGAGAUCUCUGGAUUGACGCUGGCUAGGGGGCGACCCUUGGCCAGGCUGUCGAGAAACUGCUCAAACUUGCUCAUUUAGAGGAAGUAAAAGUCGUAACA